AUGAAAUUAAGCAGUAGCCCACCUGGCGGAAGCCACCUCUAGGGGACGUGUCCCUGACUGAGCCUGGGGCUGCACGAGUCGCAUUCGCGUGAGCUUCUGGCUCCGUUCCUCUCAGAGAAGAGGGAAGCAGCGGCCGCGCGCAGCCCGCGGGCGGGAGCGUCCCGAGCGGUGGAGGCGCGUGCAGCUCGCGCCGGGGCAGGCGGCGUGCGGGGCUCGGCGGCGAGGGAGCAGCAGCGGCCGUGCAGACCGGGAGCCCCAGUGCUCAAGUGGAUUGCUGUGUUAGUAAGAGCUUCACACCAUCCAGGCUGCCAAGUGGAGAGCUUGUGUGAUCCAGUCACUAGGAUGUCUUGAGGAUGAAGUAGGAUUUGUCAUUUUUCUUAAAUCUUCCUGACAGUAAAUGCUCUGAAACCCUGUCGAGAGUGUCAAGUGGCUACUCAAAAAUACCCAUGGAUUCAUGGGUUUGUUCGGCCUGGGAAGUUCAAGUGAAGGCAAACCUGCGAUUAAGUUAGAAGUUCUGUGUGUGGGAGUGAGGUGCCCCAGUCUGAAGAUGCUCAACCACACUUCUAUGCAUGAGAUACUACUGAAAGAUGAAGUGGCUCUUUGAACAAACCAGUUUGUCUCCUCUGCAUUUGGACACAAUACAGCAGCCUACGGAAAGAUGAAAUGCUGUCUCACUGUGGUUGCUAUCUAAGGAAAAGAAGUGCAUCUAAUUCUAAAUGCAAGUGGACAGUUUGUUUUGACAGCAGUAAUAAUAUGUUGUAUUAAUGUAUAAUAACAAUAUGGUUUUAUUGAAAUUAGGAAUAAAAACAGUUCAUAAUAGUUCUGACA
rnacentral:lncRNA from 1 species